rnacentral:lncRNA from 1 species
CUCCACUGUCCAGGAGUGAGCAGGAAGACAGGCUACUGCUCUUUUUCAAAAUGAAGGUCACAGAACCAGUUUAAACUGCAUCCCUUUUGAAUGGGGCCAGACUCACACGAGGAGUGGUGACUGUACGAGUUAAUGUGGUUUUACUACCCAGAAGGUGAGAUUUAGCUGUCAUUUUAGAGCUCAUUUAAAACAUUCUCUAUAACUUCCUUCUAGUGUUUCUAAGAUUCUAUUUUGUAGAGUAGUUACAAUUUUGGAUUUAAGAUCCUCCCUUUUGAGCCUUUGUAAGCUAGUGUAGAGGUUCAUGAUGUGUGAUGAGUUAUAAUUUUUCUGAGGCCCAAAUUUGAGCCUCACGUGCUGUUGGAAUGG